UGGGGAAUCUUGCACAAUGGGGGAAACCCUGAUGCAGCGACGCCGCGUGAGCGAUGAAGGUUUUCGAAUCGUAAAGCUCUGUCCUAUCGGAAGAUAAUGACGGUACCAUGGGAGGAAGCCCCGGCUAACUACGUGCCAGCAGCCGCGGUAAUACGUAGGGGGCGAGCGUUGUCCGGAAUUACUGGGCGUAAAGGGUUCGCAGGCGGCAUGGCAAGUCCGAUGUAAAAGGCGAAGGCUCAACCUUCGUAAGCAUCGGAAACUGUCAAGCUUGAGUGAAGGAGAGGCAAGUGGAAUUCCUAGUGUAGCGGUGGAAUGCGUAGAUAUUAGGAGGAAUACCGGUGGCGAAGGCGACUUGCUGGACUUCAACUGACGCUGAGGAACGAAAGCGUGGGUAGCAAACAGG
rnacentral:rRNA from 1 species